rnacentral:misc_RNA from 1 species
AAAUGCAUAGCUUUCCUCCGUUUCAUUACGACCACUAUAUAAUCCCGAAAUGUCAUCAAAUCCCAAAAUCUUUUUCAUGAUUCCUACCUCGCUUUUUUCAGACACCCAAAUACGAUAAGGAAAAUGAUCUGCAAUAGCUUGGCUGUCAUAGAUUAGCUUUGCAAGGCAUGUCUUGCCAAUGCCUCCAACGCCCGCAAUUGAAAUGGUGAUGCAGCGAUGGUCAUCUUUCAGCAGCUGUGCCAUAACUGCAUCAACAUCCUCAUCGAAGCUAACCAUAUCAAGUUGAUCAGAAUCACGAGGUGGUGGUUCUUGCUGUUUAUAAAAAUUUAUGUAACCACUCCGUGAAACUAAACUCGGAAUGGCUCCACGUCGUCUCUUCGAAAUAUCACGGAUCUUAUCAUUUAUCCGGGCCAUCUGCUGGAAAAGCUUAUGCUGGGAAAUGAAAUUCUGGGGAGCCCAGACCAAGUUUUGUAAAGGUCCUCUCUUCUCGUUCUUCAUCCGUUGCAAGAAGAGCCCAACAAAAUUCUCAGCUGAGCGACAAACAUCGCAAAGUUCCUCCAUCCACGCCAUUCCCGCUUCACUUAAUUCUUUUGAUUGUUCAAUAUCUUUUAGAAAAUCCUGCAAAGACUUGAAUUCGUCUCUUAACCUCCUGGCUUGCCUUCGCACAGUAGGACGAAGCUCAAUCCGAGUGGCUAAGGCCUCAAACAAACCUAUAACUGGAGAAAUUACAGAGUAGCCAAAAGCCACUUCGUAUAAGCCAAAGGAGUCGUAC